UACGUAGGGGGCAAGCGUUGUCCGGAAUUAUUGGGCGUAAAGAGCUCGUAGGCGGUCUGUCGCGUCUGCUGUGAAAACUCGGGGCUUAACCCCGGGCCUGCAGUGGGUACGGGCAGACUAGAGUGCGGUAGGGGAGACUGGAAUUCCUGGUGUAGCGGUGAAAUGCGCAGAUAUCAGGAGGAACACCGGUGGCGAAGGCGGGUCUCUGGGCCGUAACUGACGCUGAGGAGCGAAAGCAUGGGGAGCGAACAGG
rnacentral:rRNA from 1 species